rnacentral:pre_miRNA from 1 species
UGCCGGCCGGCGCUCUUUUCACAUUGUGCUACUGUCUGCACUCGUCACAAGCAGUGCAAUGUUAAAAGGGCAUCGGCGGGCA